rnacentral:rRNA from 1 species
UACGUAGGAGGCGAGCGUUGUCCGGAUUUACUGGGCGUAAAGGGCGCGCAGGCGGCACUUCAAGUACGGUGUGAAAUCUCCCUGCUCAACGGGGAGGGUGCAUUGUAAACUGGAGAGCUAGAGGACGGUAGAGGGGGGUAGAAUUGCUGGUGUAGCGGUGAAAUGCGUAGAGAUCAGCAGGAAUACCCGUGGCGAAGGCGGCCCCCUGGGCCGAACCUGACGCUGAGGCGCGAAGGCUAGGGGAGCGAACGGG